rnacentral:rRNA from 1 species
UGAAUAACCUGCCCUUAACUCUGGGAUAAGCCUGGGAAACUGGGUCUAAUACCGGAUAUGACUCCUCAUCGCAUGGUGGGGGGUGGAAAGCUUUAUUGUGGUUUUGGAUGGACUCGCGGCCUAUCAGCUUGUUGGUGAGGUAAUGGCUCACCAAGGCGACGACGGGUAGCCGGCCUGAGAGGGUGACCGGCCACACUGGGACUGAGACACGGCCCAGACCUCCGUACGGGAGCAG